rnacentral:rRNA from 1 species
AGCGAACGCUGGCGGCAGGCUUAACACAUGCAAGUCGAACGCAUCCUUCGGGGUGAGUGGCAGACGGGUGAGUAACACGUGGGAACAUACCUUUUGGUUCGGAAUAACUCAUGGAAACGUGAGCUAAUACCGGAUACGCCCUUUUGGGGAAAGAUUUAUUGCCGAAAGAUUGGCCCGCGUCUGAUUAGCUAGUUGGUGAGGUAAUGGCUCACCAAGGCGGCGAUCAGUAGCUGGUCUGAGAGGAUGAUCAGCCACACUGGGACUGAGACACGGCCCAGACUCCUACGGGAGGCAGCAGUGGGGAAUAUUGGACAAUGGGCGCAAGCCUGAUCCAGCCAUGCCGCGUGAGUGAUGAAGGCCUUAGGGUUGUAAAGCUCUUUUAUCCGGGAAGAUAAUGACUGUACCGGAAGAAUAAGCCCCGGCUAACUUCGUGCCAGCAGCCGCGGUAA